rnacentral:rRNA from 1 species
UACGUAGGGGGCGAGCGUUGUCCGGAUUUAUUGGGCGUAAAGAGCGUGUAGGCGGCUUGGUAGGUCUCGCGUCAAAACCUGCGGCUCAACCGCAGUUCGCGUGGGAAACCACCUAGCUAGAGUCCGGAAGAGGAGAACGGAAUUCCCAGUGUAGCGGUGAAAUGCGCAGAUAUUGGGAAGAACACCAGUGGCGAAGGCGGGUCUCUGGACAGUUCCUGACACUGAGGCACGAAGGCCAGGGGAGCAAACGGG